UUGGAGGGCAAGUCUGGUGCCAGCAGCCGCGGUAAUUCCAGCUCCAAUAGCGUAUAUUAAAGUUGUUGCAGUUAAAAAGCUCGUAGUUGAACUUCGGGGUUUACCCAUUGGUCAGGCUUAAUUGUCUGUACUGGUGAGAUGAAUCUCUACCUUCUGAGGAACUUUCAUGCCAUUUAUUUGGUGUGAUGGGAAAUCAGGACUGUUACUUUGAAAAAAUUAGAGUGUUUAAAGCAGGCUAACGUCUGAAUACAUUAGCAUGGAAUAAUGAAAUAGGACGGACUGAUUCUAUUUCGUUGGUUUCUAGGAUCACCGUAAUGAUUAAUAAGGAUAGUUGGGGGCAUUAGUAUUCAAUUGUCAGAGGUGAAAUUCUUGGAUUUAUUGAAGACUAACUACUGCGAAAGCAUUUGCCAAGGAUGUUUUCAUUAAUCAAGAACGAAAGUUAGGGGAUCGAAGACGAUCAGAUACCGUCGUAGUCUUAACCAUAAACUAUGCCGACUAGGGAUCGGACGAAGUUAAUUUUAUAAUGACGCGUUCGGCGCCUUACGGGAAAC
rnacentral:rRNA from 1 species